rnacentral:misc_RNA from 1 species
GGACCAUAUAGGCGCGCACCAGCCGCAACCAGCCUUCGACAUCGUUGCCGUUGUCCUUCAGCCGCGUGGCGAGACGAUCCACCAUGCCGCGGAUCAUCGUGUUGCGGUCGCCUUCGGUCAUGUCCUUGGCAGCCGCGAUGGUGUCGUCGGACAGCUUGGGCGCAACAACGCCGACGCGCACCAGCGCGCCCUGCACCAGCGGACGCCACGGCGCAUCGGCCGGCGCCGACGCCAGCAUGCCACGCCAGAUAUUGAUGGCAUCGUCCUUGCGGCCGUCCUGCUCGGC